GGUAUUUCUUAGAGGACCCGUUGCGGGGCGCGGUACUCCUCGAGGGUACUCUGGGGCAUUUGAAGGCGCUACAACGUCAUAUAGCUUGGUGCCGUCCUGAUAAGGGUGCAUGUAAGCCCCAUACACAAGAUAAUAAAUGAUGACACGUACAGUUUCAAAGACAGCCCAUCCUCCCGUCUGCUACUGGUCAUCAGCGUUUGUUACGCAUGGUAUAUGGUGGAAAGCUCACCGAGAUCCUGCUCCUUACAAUCUCGACAGAUCCUCUCAGCCCCGGAGCUUUUUUUAUCCUUUCUCUUUCUUCUUCAUCCAACAUGCCGAAGACUUUGCCUGUUUCUUGAAUUAGCAGCGUUGCAUCUGUGGUAUAUGUGAAUGAUGAGCCGAGGGCAGGUUUGAUGUUGAGUUUGUUAAACCGUGAGAGAGGGUUCGUGGGUAUAGAGGUUACUGUUGAGUUUAUUACCUGCUGUAUCGUCAGAUUCAAUUGAAUACUGGCCGAUAAAUCAAAGUACAAUGGAGACAAUGUUCUGUGAAUAAGUGAUAUUCGCCACAUCCUCCAUGACUGUGACCAGCUCGGCGUGACCUACAGAAUGACGGUCAGUAGAGAAUAUUGUGACUUUCGGAAACGAACCUUGCGCUGAGGUGUUGGUCAACCUGUCUUUGAAAUAGGUGAAGAUGUUGUCAAUGAUCAGGAUUUUUGUUCGCGGUUCUUCAGCCUGGCUGAUCGCCGUCUAUACUUUGUGUCAGCUAUCGCGGUAUGCCAUCGAUCAAUCUCAC
rnacentral:sRNA from 1 species